UUAGAUUUAAAGUCCACUUCUUAAUAAAAACACACAAGUUAGCACCUGUGUGAUCUCCUAAAAACUUAACCAUUCGGAAACUUCUUCAUUUCUUAUAAGCCAGUUUUAUGAAAUUGAGUUAGAUUUAAAGUCCACUUCUUAAUAAAAACACACAAGUUAACACCUGUGUGAUCUCCUAAAAACUUAACCAUUCCUUACUAGGAAACCUCUUCAUUUUCUUCUCCUUAGGAAAAGCAUGCCAAUCUUCAAUGACUUUUUAGUUCACUUUUAAUCUCCAUAUUUUAUGACUUUAUCCAGCCACCACAGAAUACUUAUCAUCUCAUUUUAUUCCUUAUGCAAG
rnacentral:lncRNA from 1 species